rnacentral:piRNA from 1 species
ACAGAACCGGGUGCCGAAUCUGCUG